GAUGAACGCUGGCGGCGUGCCUAAUACAUGCAAGUCGAGCGAACGGACGAGAAGCUUGCUUCUCUGAUGUUAGCGGCGGACGGGUGAGUAACACGUGGAUAACCUACCUAUAAGACUGGGAUAACUUCGGGAAACCGGAGCUAAUACCGGAUGAUAUUUUGAACCGCAUGGUUCAAAAGUGAAAGACGGUCUUGCUGUCACUUAUAGAUGGAUCCGCGCUGCAUUAGCUAGUUGGUAAGGUAACGGCUUACCAAGGCAACGAUGCAUAGCCGACCUGAGAGGGUGAUCGGCCACACUGGAACUGAGACACGGUCCAGACUCCUACGGGAGGCAGCAGUAGGGAAUCUUCCGCAAAGGGCGAAAGCCUGACGGAGCAACGCCGCGUGAGUGAUGAAGGUCUUCGGAUCGUAAAACUCUGUUAUUAGGGAAGAACAUAUGUGUAAGUAACUAUGCACGUCUUGACGGUACCUAAUCAGAAAGCCACGGCUAACUACGUG
rnacentral:rRNA from 1 species